AGGCCGCGUUACAUUUUACCAAUUCUGCGGCUUAAGAAAGUCCUUGGUCCUUUACGAGCGAGGGAGCCUUGAGUUAAACGGAUGCAGAUCGAAACCGUCGCAGAGAAACCCGCGGUAACGUUUGGAUCUCUUUUCACCGCGCGAUUAUUUCGCGCGGCCAAACAAAUCCCACGCGACGAAGUGAACAAAGGGAAACGUUGAAAAAUCUAUUGAAAAUUUUCCAUUGCCACGACUGAACCGAGAGAUAAGUGUCACGAGCUUUCGAUUUUUGCUUCGCUCAGAGGCGACAACGCCGUGUCGUUGCAUUACAAUUCUUAACGGCGCGGGAGUAAAUUAUGUGUACGAUGGCCUCCAGGUUAUCGAGAAGCAUUAUUGUCCCAUCUUCGCUAUUUAUUGCGACAAGGAAGCAACGUGCACAUCUGCAACGCGACGCGACUUAUUUCUGUUCUUAUCUGCAUGAUUGUUAAUAAUAACGUGUGGCUAUUGGCGCCCGUCACUGAACGAUAAUACACCAGCUGACCGUCGGCGGGGUCGAUGGGAAAAUUUGCAGCUUGCAAUAACAUGUUUGUCAUCGCGGCAUGUCGGUAUUGGCGCCUAGUUUAGCAACCGGAUUCGUUUCUGCGCGAUUCCGACCGUGUACGUAGGAGAGAGUUGGCUAACGCAUACCGAUCGCCUAUAUCGCGCUUCUCCGGUUUCUUUAAAAUUUAAAUAUAGAAAACGUUUGCAAUUCCUUUAUCGUUACUGAAUACACGCUCGAUCUCGCGAUGAUCACAUGUACGAAACGAUUGAGCAAUGCGAAGCACUGGCAAAAAAUUGACGGAUGAUAUUUCGUUCUGUGCAUGCGGUGCAUAGUUCGAACGAUCAGAAAUGAAUGACGCAAUUUUAUUUUACAUGUUUUAUAUUCUGUAAAAUUCUAUCGAAAUCAAGGACUCUUUCGCGUCGCAGGCUGGUUGAUCUAAUCUUGUUGAUCAAGGUAUUCAAAGAUGGAGAAUAGGAAGACUCGAUUAGAAGCUAAAGGCCUAUUGGUAUCGUAAAUUCUAUUUCGAACUCCUGGCUGAGCACGAUGCAGUUUCUCACAGUCUCGUUACCGGAAGGCAUCCUUGUUCGAUCCGUGACCAGAUCGUUUAGAAACAGUCUCCGUUCUCUACCGACGCCAGAUCGUCUACAAUCUUUCCAUACCCUUAUCUAGUUUAAACAGUGUCAUUUGAGUCUUGAUAACUAUGUGACUGCAAAUCGCUAACCAUCCCCUGGCGCCCACCCACACGAAUGGCUCUAUUCGAUCCUUGACCCAGUCACAACCAUUCGGAAAGAGAAAUAGCGUCGUGCUAUGUCUUCCAAGCACUAUCAAAAUACGCCAACGGACAUCAGAGGGAUUAGUCUCGGAAUAGAACACGUCUUUGCUCUCCAAAGAAAUUUACAAAAUAUUCCCUGGUGUACGACGUAUUCUGUUUCGUUAAGAUUUCUCAACAAUGUAUACACGUUGGAAAGAGUGGUUUGAAAUGUAACAGCGAAACAGGAUCAGGUUCUCUGUCCCUGGUAAUUGUAAAAGCUUGGUGUCCAUUGUGCAACGCGGUUAAUGUUGAUUUAAAGACAUGACCCACGUCAUGUUCGUGGGUUGAAAAAGAACACUUUAGCUGGAUGCGUAGAUCCCUGGGCGUUAUCAAACGAAGCAAAGGCAUUCAGCUUGCUCCUAUUCACGCGUAUUUUUUUUACCGACGGUUAGCCGGCCAAGCUUAUUUCAUUUUCAUUAUUCUCUUCUCUGUUCGCAAAUAUUUAUGCGUAUUAUGUAUCGCGCCCGUGUCACGCUUUUGUGCUAUUUCUAGUUCAACAAACGCAACGUUAUCGCGUUGCAUUUGUAGCGGUAGCUCGUCUCUGUCGGUUCUGCCUGUUACCGAUGCCAACGUCAUGUUCUCCUUUGAAGCAAGAUCCGUGUGCAAGUUUUAGAUUGCAAGACGAAAGAUCUUGUACCGGCUCCCUUGCGAUCAGGCACCGACUUGUGCGCUUCUUCCUCGACGAGUUUAUUCGGCGAAAACCGGAAACGAUUAGCGGUGGGAAUGUAAAUCCGUGCGCGCGGAGGUUGAAAGUUGCUAUCUUUGGAAUGUAUGCAGAAAAUACAGGCUGAUGUAAGAGGGAGGUUGCAGAAUUUAGAUGCGGUGGAUUCCGGAGGAAUCGAUAUGCAGAUAAUUUUAGUUGAAACAAUCUCAAACGCGAAGCUUGAGAGUGCAUCCUUUACUUCCUCUUCUAAAGAAAAGAACAAACGGUAUGCUGGAAUUAUGGAGUGUAAAGAAGAUUCUCUUUAUCCGGCCGCGAGGUCCUCGACGAAUCUGUAUCGACUUGUGCGUCACAAGCUUACGAUACGCUAAUCUUAAUGUCUCUGCGUACGAGAGUAUUUCCAUUUAUAGCGAACGUACUAAUAGGCGCUAAUUUCGAACGACAGUCUAACCCGGCUAAUAAUAAAACUGCUGGUACUUUAAAUUAUGAGAAUACGUAAACAAGUCCCAAGAAUCUUACGUUGGAUGAGGCGGAAACAUCGUUGGCGCAAACAAGCACAAUGCUUGGCAUAGAGUGCUAAGCAUAGUAGAGAUUCUAGAAAAUCGCCGCGGAUUUCCACGAAUUACCAACGAGCAGUUACUCAGGUGCAAUCGCAAUGUAUCCAUUUAAUCUGUAUACAACAUCUGACUCACAAACACCGCGUCAUCUUAUCUUCCGCGUCUUUCGGGAUAUCUACUCAUUAAAGAUUGCUUCUAUGCUAUCGUUCCCUCUGUUACAAUCAUAAAUCAUCCAAGGUAAUUAUGCACAUUUCCCCAAGCCAGAAUACCGGGGCACUUCUACAUCGUUCAACAACCAAGUUCUACUCUCGAAACUUGGUAGACGUAGCGAUUCCUACGAAGCGUCGAGGAUCCGUUGGAUAAUCGCCCGACAUUGAGACCUUUCGCGAUGUCACGCGUGAAGAACGUGUACGUGUCCAAUCGACAUACGCGUCUGUACUUAUAAGUAUGCCAGUCUACCCUGUUAUUUUCGGCGUAAUAGCGACGCAGGUCGUCGCAGAGCGCGGCGCCUACGGCGUCGUGACGCGCCGUCUCGACACCCACGUGAACAUUUUUGAAGGCGCAUACUGUCACGAUCGCUGCCAAAUUGUUCAGUUCAUCGGCAGCUGGGCCUGGGACAACAAGAGACCUAUCGCAGGGGCAACGGAUGCGUUUGCGUGGGCGUAGCGAUUGUGCAGCGCUGCAAGGCCGAGUUACGUUUAGAAUAGACAACCAACGUGCUCGAUCGUCGACCGGUACUUUUUCGUCCUGACUCUAAUCCUUGCACGACCACGCCAUUCUAGUCGGCGUAAAGUGUCGCGACGAUAAAAAUUACUUCGUUCGACGCGACAUAGGCGUAUUCUUAGAUAUAUUCGAAAAUACUUUGUUCCGGAAUACAGAGUGUAUCGGUUCGGUACCAACGACGCGGGGAAUUCGAUGCGACGUUCAAUUUUCGCGCCAAGAGCGCAGGACGUCCUUGGAGAAGAAGCCAGGGUGACCACGUUAACGAGGGUGUUCGAAUUAAAUAUCGCCUCGUGAUUAGAUUACACGCCAGAUGAAGGGAGCGACGUAAUUGGGACGAAGAAACGCCGAUUCCUUUCGAUUUCGUCUUGUAAAUUCAAAGAAAAAGUAACGAAGAUGUGUAACGAUUUAUAAGUAUAAGAAAUAGAAUUAUAAGCAUCGGAAUAGAGGCUUAACUGAGUAUAGAGAGUCGCAUGUUUCGCGGAUAUAAACACGAGGAUACGAUCAAAUCCCAUAAUCCUACGACGGUGGAAAGAUAUUACAGAUAUUACAGACUGUUGUCUCGAUGGAGUAAAAUUAUAUAAUCGAUGACGUAGAAUCCUGUAUUUUUGGUUGCUACGUGGUACGAGACAAUAAUAGACUGUAUUCCUCGAUAAGCUAAUAAGUAAUAACGAUACGUGCUGCUGUGACGCGUAUUAGCCUGUACUCUUGACGCACGUUGCUUGCUUGGACAGCUGUACGCGCAAUUUUCCUGGAUCGAAUAGUUUACACGUUAAUUUACACUGACCUAUCCUAGCUCUAACUCCACCCAUGAAUAGGGCGAAUGACGCAGAUGCAGAGAUAGGCAAUUGUUUAUCUAAACGAUCCUCCUACACCCUUCCAUGGUUGCGAAUAUCGCUACAAUUUUACCUCUGCCAUGCUAUCCUAUUUGCAAUCGAACGGAAGACAUUCAAUUUCAGCGACUCGACUCGCGGAUCUAUCAUUUCUUCGACUGACGUGUCAAAGUUGUACGCGUCGAACAGUACCACCUACGAGGUACGCACGCGUGAACCAGGUAUGAACGAAAGGGACACCUCAAUGGAAAUUCGUACGGCCAGAUAUACCACGCACGUCGAGAUUCAUAAAUAUGAACGUCUGUAGUUAAUUCAAAUUUACACAUCGACGACUCAAUCGAUAACUAUUGCAGCACGUGCAAUCUAAACGAGGAGAGUACGUGCUACGAAAUAUGUUUUGAAUCUCGUAAUCUUACGUCUUCAAGAAAAUAAAAAAAAAAAAAGAUUGACAACGUCCAUUCGUACAGAGCUCGAUUUCGUUUGAUCGAUACGCGUACCCAUUUUACACAUUUGUGAAGUUGAUCAAUCGUUGAGACGUGCGCAGUUGGCGUGGACAAUUAUGUCCGCUUCGCAUUACGUUCCCCAAUUGGAUUCGCGCGUACGCGAGAAGUUGGCAUCUGACACUUCGAAUUGUUGGUAAUAUCUUCAUAAUUGAUUCACGAUUCUAAUCGCGUACAGCAAAUAACUUCGAUGCCACGAUCGUUUAUAGACUAGUAGAUCCGAUCAUUGAGUCAUACAUGGAAAUAUCGAUCGGGUGAUCGUAAUACGCGUCCGACAUGCAUUCAACAAACAUUUGAACAGAAUCCAUGUUGGCGUUUGAAGAUUGAAAUUUCGAUGAUCAAGUUUCUACCGCUUAAACUAUUCAACAAUUGCACAACUGUGAUAUAACAAGCGUAUUAUUGUUGUUAUUAUUAUAUAACAGAAGAGCAAACAUAAUUCUGUAGGCGCCUCGCUCGAACAGCAGACUAUAAAUCCGUAACGAAUACUCAGAUGUUGGCAUUUGAUGUUCGAACAAUGUUCUUACACUGUAUUGCGGCGCAAAACUAUUGUCUCGGUCAUCGAUUGAGACGUAAAUAGUCGAUAUCCUCUUCGUCUCUGCAAUGACAAAUUUCUUCGCAUCACGCACGCGGCACGCUGCGCUUCGCGAUCGCGCGUAAAUUGGUCCCUGAAGAUUAGCACGGUCGCCGAUUGUGAACAGUUUGGCACGAUUCAGACGCGAUAAAUAGUUAACGGCGAGCCAUGCUUAUUGCCAAAUAUCACGGUGCUCGCGCGCAGGCGUGCAUGCAUUUUUAAAUAAAUUAUCUUGGCCAGCGGCGUCUCGAUAAUCUCGUUAGCGACGAUGUACUUUGUAACGCGUGAGUUUCCUUCGAUUCCAAACCCGUGUCAAUGUUCGAUUCGAAAAAUUUAUUCCUCCUACAACGCGUUCAUUUUUGUCGACCUCGCGGACGAAAGGUUUAGAAACUUGAAUAGGAGUUUGAACUUUGUGCCGCAAACAGUUAAGCGAUAGGAAGACACGUGGCACUCGCAGAAUUGCUUAAGUAUCAUCGGGCUUUGAUCGUGAUAGCAGAAAGUUCGGACGGGCUGAUAAUCGGAUCAGACGGUUCGUCAACGAAGCGACCAAGAGGCAACAUAAUCGGGCGAGGUUGUAUCGACCUUGGUACGAGAUCUUGUUGAUUCUCAGCAAGGACGAUAUCAUCUGGCUGGAAAUUCUCCGUUGCCGUCUACCGCGGCCUAUUCGCUCUUUUCAAGGGAAACCAGUCUUAGCCGGGCUUCUGCAUCGGUUUUCUGCCCUCCGCACAGAUGUCGGUGUAAGGUUCUGCCAUCAACCGGUUACCGACCACUCGACCAGUUAUGCAGCAGUUUAAAACUCUGAGAUCGCAGCACGAGCCAGCGUUUUGUUUGCGAGAACGGAGUUUUCCUGAAUGAGAGCACCAGCCUGGCCUCCCCUCCGAUCACCUUUCUACCGUAUCUACGUCGUACUCAAAUGACACUGAAAGCGCGGAUGCAGAGAGCUCCGACCGACCGAAAUCAAUACCACGUUGGCCUACUACGCCGUGGCCUUCUUUUCAUCUAAAUCUGUUUGCCAUGGAAGACAAUAAAGGACAACUAAAACGGUCAUCUGUACUAAUUUCGUUCAAGAUUUCACCGAGUCUCGUCAUUGAAAUUCUCGUUUAACUCAAUUUAGGACAGCUAUAACAAUUGUUUAUCUUUCUCCACUCUUCUACGUAUCAAAAACAAAUCAGAUUACAUCGUAAAUUAUUCGAGAAUAUCCAGCGUCAAACUACAGUGUUAAUCGUUGCUUAUGCCAACGGUAUUUGAAUAAAUUUUUAAUAUCGUGA